AUUGAACGCUGGCGGCAUGCCUUACACAUGCAAGUCGAACGGUAACGCGGGGCAACCUGGCGACGAGUGGCGAACGGGUGAGUAAUGUAUCGGAACGUGCCCAGUUGUGGGGGAUAACUGCUCGAAAGAGCAGCUAAUACCGCAUACGACCUGAGGGUGAAAGCGGGGGAUCGCAAGACCUCGCGCAAUUGGAGCGGCCGAUAUCAGAUUAGGUAGUCGGUGGGGUAAAGGCUCACCAAGCCAACGAUCUGUAGCUGGUCUGAGAGGACGACCAGCCACACUGGGACUGAGACACGGACCAAGCUCCUGCGGGGGGCAGAAGUGGGGAAUUUUGGACAAUGGACGCAAGUCUGAUCCAGCCAUGCCGCGUGCGGGAAGAAGGCCUUCGGGUUGUAAACCGCUUUUGUCAGGGAAGAAACGCUCUGGGUUAAUACCUCGGGGUAAUGACGGUACCUGAAGAAUAAGCACCGGCUAACUACGUGCCAGCCGCCGCCGUAACAC
rnacentral:rRNA from 1 species